ACCAGUGUGGCAUAGUGGUUUGAGCAUUGGACUAUGACUCUGGAGAUCAGAGUUUGAUUCCCUGCUUGAGAA